UUUUUUUUUUUUUUUUUUUUUUUUUUUUUUUUUUUUUUU
rnacentral:ribozyme from 3 species